UACAGAGGGUGCGAGCGUUGUCCGGAAUUAUUGGGCGUAAAGAGCUCGUAGGCGGUGUGUCGCGUCGGCCGUGAAAACCCGCAGCUCAACUGCGGGCUUGCGGUCGAUACGGGCAGGCUGGAGUUCGGUAGGGGAGACUGGAAUUCCUGGUGUAGCGGUGAAAUGCGCAGAUAUCAGGAGGAACACCGGUGGCGAAGGCGGGUCUCUGGGCCGAUACUGACGCUGAGGAGCGAAAGCGUGGGGAGCGAACAGG
rnacentral:rRNA from 1 species